rnacentral:rRNA from 1 species
UACGGAGGGGGCGAGUGUUGUUCGGAAUUACUGGGCGUAAAGGGCGCGCAGGCGGCUUGGCAAGUCGAGUGUGAAAUACCUCAGCUUAACUGAGGAACGGCGCUCGAAACUACCUCGCUUGAGGGCGGGAGAGGGAAGUGGAACUCUCGGUGUAGGGGUGAAAUCUGUAGAUAUCGAGAGGAACACCGGUGGCGAAGGCGGCUUCCUGGCCCGUACCUGACGCUGAGGCGCGAAAGCGUGGGGAGCAAACAGG